rnacentral:rRNA from 1 species
ACCAGGUCCAGACAUUAGAAGGAUUGACAGAUUGAUAGCUCUUUCAUGAUUUGAUGGGUGGUGGUGCAUGGCCGUUCUUAGUUGGUGGAGUGAUUUGUCUGGUUAAUUCCGAUAACGAACGAGACCUUUACCAUACUAACUAGUUAUAURUAUACUUUUGWAUAUAUAGRUGAACUUCUUAGAGGGACUAUUGGUUUACAAACCAAAGGAAGUAAAGGCGAUAACAGGUCUGUGAUGCCCUUAGAUGUUCUGGGCUGCACGCGCGCUACAAUGAUAAAAUCAUCAAGUAAUUUUACGAUAUGCUUAACUGGAAGGYKUGGCUAAUCUUCAAGUUUUAUCGUGCUUGGGAUAGAUGAUUGCAAUUAUUCAUCUCAAACCAGGAAUUCCUAGUAAUCGUAGCUCAUCAGGCUGCGAUGAUUACGUCCCUGCCCCU